rnacentral:rRNA from 1 species
UACGUAGGAGGCAAGCGUUGUCCGGAAUUACUGGGCGUAAAGCGCGCGUAGGCGGUUACUCAAGUCAGAGGUGAAAGCCCGGGGCUCAACCCCGGAACUGCCUUUGAAACUAGGUAACUAGAAUCUUGGAGAGGUCAGUGGAAUUCCGAGUGUAGAGGUGAAAUUCGUAGAUAUUCGGAAGAACACCAGUGGCGGAAGGCGGCCUUCUGGACAGUGGACUGACGCUGAGACGCGAAAGCGUGGGGAGCAAACAGGG